rnacentral:rRNA from 1 species
GCCUCUUGCCAUCAGAUGUGCCCAGAUGGGAUUAGCUUGUUGGUGAGGUAACGGCUCACCAAGGCGACGAUCCCUAGCUGGUCUGAGAGGAUGACCAGCCACACUGGAACUGAGACACGGUCCAGACUCCUACGGGAGGCAGCAGUGGGGAAUAUUGCACAAUGGGCGCAAGCCUGAUGCAGCCAUGCCGCGUGUAUGAAGAAGGCCUUCGGGUUGUAAAGUACUUUCAGCGGGGAGGAAGGUGUUGUGGUUAAUAACCGCAGCAAUUGACGUUACCCGCAGAAGAAGCACCGGCUAACUCCGUGCCAGCAGCCGCGGUAAUACGGAGGGUGCAAGCGUUAAUCGGAAUUACUGGGCGUAAAGCGCACGCAGGCGGUCUGUCAAGUCGGAUGUGAAAUCCCCGGGCUCAACCUGGGAACUGCAUUCGAAACUGGCAGGCUUGAGUCUUGUAGAGGGGGGUAGAAUUCCAGGUGUAGCGGUGAAAUGCGUAGAGAUCUGGAGGAAUACCGGUGGCGAAGGCGGCCCCCUGGACAAAGACUGACGCUCAGGUGCGAAAGCGUGGGGAGCAAACAGGAUUAGAUACCCUGGUAGUCCACGCCGUAAACGAUGUCUACUUGGAGGUUGUGCCCUUGAGGCGUGGCUUCCGGAGCUAACGCGUUAAGUAGACCGCCUGGGGAGUACGGCCGCAAGGUUAAAACUCAAAUGAAUUGACGGGGGCCCGCACAAGCGGUGGAGCAUGUGGUUUAAUUCGAUGCAACGCGAAGAACCUUACCUGGUCUUGACAUCCACAGAACUUUCCAGAGAUGGAUUGGUGCCUUCGGGAACUGUGAGACAGGUGCUGCAUGGCUGUCGUCAGCUCGUGUUGUGAAAUGUUGGGUUAAGUCCCGCAACGAGCGCAACCCUUAUCCUUUGUUGCCAGCGGUCCGGCCGGGAACUCAAAGGAGACUGCCAGUGAUAAACUGGAGGAAGGUGGGGAUGACGUCAAGUCAUCAUGGCCCUUACGACCAGGGCUACACACGUGCUACAAUGGCGCAUACAAAGAGAAGCGACCUCGCGAGAGUAAGCGGACCUCAUAAAGUGCGUCGUAGUCCGGAUUGGAGUCUGCAACUCGACUCCAUGAAGUCGGAAUCGCUAGUAAUCGUGGAUCAGAAUGCCACGGUGAAUACGUUCCCGGGCCUUGUACACACCGCCCGUCACACCAUGGGAGUGGGUUGCAAAAGAAGUAGGUAGCUUAACCUUCGGGGGGGCGCUUACCACUUUGUGAUUCAUGACUGGGGUGAAGUCGUAACAAGGUAACCGUAGGGGAACCUGCGGUUGGAUCACCUCCUUACCUUAAAGAAGC